UACGUAGGAUGCAAGCGUUGUCCGGAAUUAUUGGGCGUAAAGAGUUCGUAGGCGGUUGCCUAAGUCUGUUGUUAAAGGCCUGAGCUCAACUCGGGUAUGGCAAUGGAUACUGGGCGGCUAGAGUGUGGUAGAGGUCACGGGAAUUCCAGGUGUAGCGGUGAAAUGCGUAGAUAUCGGUAGGAACACCAGUGGCGAAGGCGGUUUCCUGGAGCUAACUUGACGCUGAGACGCGAAAGCUGGGGGAGCAAACGGG
rnacentral:rRNA from 1 species